AUUCCAGCUCCAAUAGUGUAUAUUAAAGUUGUUGCAGUUAAAAAGCUCGUAGUUGGAUUUCUGGCGGGAGCGAUCGGUCCUUCACUCAGUGUUGGAACCUGAUUGUCUCCUGCCAUCCAUGGAGAAAACUUAUCUGGCAUUAAGUUGUCGGGUAGGCAAUCUCCAUCUUUUACUGUGAAAAAAUUAGAGUGUUCAAAGCAGGCUUAUGCCGUUGAAUAUAUUAGCAUGGAAUAAUAAGAUAGGACUAUGGUACUAUUUUGUUGGUUGCGGACAAAGAUAAUGAUUAAUAGGGAUAGUUGGGGGUGUCUGUAUUGUGUUGUCAGAGGUGAAAUUCUUAGAUUUACACAAGACAAACUACUGCGAAAGCAUUCACCAAGGAUGUUUUCAUCA
rnacentral:rRNA from 1 species